rnacentral:rRNA from 1 species
GUCUACGGCCAUGCAACCCUGAACGUGCCUGAUCCCAUCUGAUCUCGGAAGCUAAGCAGGGUCGAGCCUGGUUAGUACUUGGAUGGAAGACCACCUAGGAAGACCAGGUGCUAUCGGCG